rnacentral:rRNA from 1 species
GACGAACCGUGCGAACGUUGUUCGGAAUCACUGGGCUUAAAGGGCGCGUAGGCGGAUCAUCAAGUCCGGGGUGAAAUCUUUCGGCUCAACCGGAAAAGUGCCUUGGAUACUGGUGGUCUUGAGUGAGGUAGGGGCAUGUGGAACUUCCGGUGGAGCGGUGAAAUGCGUUGAUAUCGGAAGGAACUCCGGUGGCGAAAGCGACGUGCUGGACCUCUUCUGACGCUGAGGCGCGAAAGCUAGGGGAGCGAACGGG